rnacentral:rRNA from 1 species
AACGAACGCUGGCGGCAUGCCUAACACAUGCAAGUCGAACGGGAUCCUAGCUUGCUAGGUGAGAGUGGCGGACGGGUGAGUAACACGUGGGAAUCUGCCUUUUGGUUCGGGAUAACCGCGGGAAACUGCGGCUAAUACCGAAUGCCCUCGAGAGAGGAAAGAUUUAUCGCCAGAAGAGGAGCCCGCGUCCGAUUAGGUAGUUGGUGGGGUAAAGGCCUACCAAGCCGACGAUCGGUAGCUGGUCUGAGAGGAUGAUCAGCCACACUGGGACUGAGAUACGGCCCAGACGCCUACGGGAGGCAGCAGUGGGGAAUAUUGGACAAUGGGGGCAACCCUGAUCCAGCAAUGCCGCGUGAGUGAUGAAGGCCUUAGGGUUGUAAAGCUCUUUUGCCAGGGAAGAUGAUGACUGUACCUGGAGAAUAAGCCCCGGCUAACUUCGUGCCAGCAGCCGCGGUAAU